AGUCCUGUAGUGUAGCGGUCAAUCACAGGGGACUUUGGAUCCCCAGACCUGGGUUCGACUCCCAGCAGGACCU
rnacentral:tRNA from 1 species